GUGGGGGAUAACAGGGUGAUCCUGGGGUGCCGAGAAAAGCCUCGACGCGAUGGUGCCAGCCGCCCGUACCCUAAACCGACACAGGUGAUCAGGUAGAGAAUACUAAGGCGAUCGAGAGAAUCAUGGUUAAGGAACUCGGCAAAAUGCCCCCGUAACUUCGGGAGAAGGGGGGCCCCAACCUUGACAGGACUACGCGUUCUGGAGGGGAUCGGGGCCGCAGAGACCAGGGGGAAGCGACUGUUUAUCAAAAACACAGGUCC
rnacentral:rRNA from 1 species